CUGGGACUGAGACACGGCCCAGACUCCUACGGGAGGCAGCAGUGGGGAAUAUUGCACAAUGGGCGCAAGCCUGAUGCAGCGACGCCGCGUGAGGGAUGACGGCCUUCGGGUUGUAAACCUCUGUUAGCAGGGAAGAAGAGAGAUUGACGGUACCUGCAGAGAAAGCGCCGGCUAACUACGUGCCAGCAGCCGCGGUAAUACGUAGGGCGCGAGCGUUGUCCGGAAUUAUUGGGCGUAAAGAGCUUGUAGGCGGUUUGUCGCGUCUGCUGUGAAAGGCCGGGGCUUAACCCCGUGUAUUGCAGUGGGUACGGGCAGACUAGAGUGCAGUAGGGGAGACUGGAAUUCCUGGUGUAGCGGUGGAAUGCGCAGAUAUCAGGAGGAACACCGAUGGCGAAGGCAGGUCUCUGGGCUGUAACUGACGCUGAGAAGCGAAAGCAUGGGGAGCGAACAGGAUUAGAUACCCUGGUAGUCCAUGCCGUAAACGUUGGGCACUAGGUGUGGGGGACAUUCCACGUUUUCCGCGCCGUAGCUAACGCAUUAAGUGCCCCGCCUGGGGAGUACGGCCGCAAGGCUAAAACUCAAAGAAAUUGACGGGGGCCCGCACAAGCGGCGGAGCAUGCGGAUUAAUUCGAUGCAACGCGAAGAACCUUACCAAGGCUUGACAUAUACUGGACCGCAUCAGAGAUGGUGUUUCCCUUCGGGGCUGGUAUACAGGUGGUGCAUGGUUGUCGUCAGCUCGUGUCGUGAGAUGUUGGGUUAAGUCCCGCAACGAGCGC
rnacentral:rRNA from 1 species